UCCUGCACAACCGCCUUGUCGCCAUGUUUGUGUAUGUUUGUGUUUUUUGGGUGGCGAGGAAGAGCGCCGCCAGUGGCCAGCGCAGGAACUGACCCUCAGCCGCCGCUCAGCUACAUCACUUCUCAAGGUCUGUCUGUCUGCCCUGCGAUGGGCUGGCGGCCUGUCCGGGGUGUAUCCUGCCUUCCGCCCGAUGACCGCUGGGAUGGGCUCCAACAGGGACCCUGAGGGAGAAGCGGAUGGAUAUGCUGCGAAGUGUGAAGCAGAAAUUAGCUGCUUGUAAUAGAAACACUCAGAUAUUUUGAUAUGGCGUGGUGGGUAGCGCUGUCACCUCACAGCGAGGAGGGCC